rnacentral:SRP_RNA from 1 species
CACGCGGCGCAGACCUGCGAACUCCGCCAGGCCGGAAGGAGCAACGGUAAACAGUGCUCUGCGGGUGCCGUGGGAGCGCCUGACCCG